GUGCCUGCAUCACUGCUCUGCACAGCAGCUAGAAUAACUGCACUGCUCCAUUGCUCAGGGUUUUUAAAGCUGACAGUUGAGCCCUUUCACAGUCACUGAGACACACAGAGAGCAUGGCUUCACUGGGGCUCCUCCUCUGGACACUGGUACUCUUUGCUCAUGAAUCCAGCAGUCAGAUUGUCCUGACUCAGAGUCCCACAGUGGAGUCUGUCUCUAUAGGAGGGAGUGUCACUCUGAACUGCAGAUCCAGUAGCUCUGGUUUUACCAGCAGUCUAGCCUGGUAUGUGCAGAAACCCGGAGGAGCUCCUAAACUCCUCUUCUCUUCACUGAAUAGCCGAGUCUCUGGAGCUCCAGCUCCAUUCACUGACAGCAGCUCAAGAACAAACUUCAUGCUGCCCAUCAGUGGAGUCCAGGCUGAAGAUGCAGGAGAUUACUACUGUCAGCAGCACUAUAGCUUCCAUUAAUGUGACCUUUAAGAGACACACUGCAGAUAUUAACACUGACCACAAGAGGGAGCCAGAGCACCAC